AACGUCCCCAUUGUCCCCAUUGACCCCAAUGCCUCCAAUGUCCCCAUUGCCCCCAAUGUCCCCAACGUCCCCAUUGACCCCAUUGCCCCCAAUGUCCCCAUUGUCCCCGUUACCCCCAUUGCCCCCAAUGUCCCCAUUGUCCCCAUUACCCCCAUUGACUCCAUUACCCCCAAUGUCCCCAAUUUCCCCNNNNNNNNNNNNNNNNNNNNNNNNNNNNNNNNNNNNNNNNNNNNNNNNNNAUUGUCCCUAUUGUUUCCAUUGACCCCAAUAUCCCCAUUGUCCCCAUUGACCCCAGUGUCCCCAUUGCCCCCAUUGCCCCCGUUGUCCCCACUGCCCCCCUGAUGUCCCCAUUGUCCCCAGGUCUCCUGUUUCCGGGAGGAGCGGGACGUCUUGGUGCGCGGUGACCGCCGAUGGAUCACACGGCUGCACUUCGCCUUCCAGGACCCGCAGUGCCUGGUGGGGGAACGGCCCCGGUGUCCCCAGUGUCCCCUUUGUCACCGAUGUCCCCAUAUAGCCCCAUUGUCCCCAUAUGGCCCCAUUGUCCCAAUGUCCCCAUUGUCCCCAUAUAUCCCCAUAUGGCCCCAUAUGGCCCCAUAUGUCCCCGUUGUCCCCAUAUGGCCCCAUUGUCCCCAAUGUCCCCAUAUGUCCCCAUAUGUCCCCAUUUGUCCCCAUUGUCCCCAUUGUCCCCAUUGUCCGCAAUGUCCCUGUUGUCCCCAUAUGGCCCUAUUGUCCCCAUAUGGCCUCAUUGUCCCAAUGUCCCCAUAUGUCCCCAUUGUCCCAUAUAUCCCCAUAUGUCCCUAUUGUCACCAUAUGGCCCCAUUUGUCCCCAAUGUCCCCAAUGUCCCCAUACGUCCCCAUUGUCACAAUGUCCCCAUAUAUCCCCAUUGUCCCCAUAUGACCCCAUAUGUCCCCAUUUGUCCCCAGUGUCCUCAUUGUCCACAGUGUCCCUGUUGUCCCCAUAUGGCCCCAUUGUCCCAAUGUCCCCAUUGUCCCCAUAUGUCCCCAUUGUCCCCAUAUGUCCCCAUAUGUCCCUAUUGUCCCCAUAUGGCCCCGUUGUCCCCAAUGUCCCCAAUGUCCCCAUACGUCCCCAUAUAUCCCCAUAUGGCCCCAUUUGGCCCCAUUGUCCCCAUAUGUCCCUAUUGUCCCCAUACGGCCCCAUUUGGCCCCAUUGUCCCCAUAUGGCCACAUUGUCCCCAAUGUCCCCAGUGUCCCCAUACGUCCCCAUUGUCACAAUGUCCCCAUAUAUCCCCAUUGUCCCCAUAUGUCCCCGUUGUCCCCAUAUGGCCCCAUUUGUCCCAUUGUCCCCAUUGCCCCAGUGUCCCCGUAUGUCCCCAUAUAUCCCCGUUUGGCCCCAUUGUCCCCAUAUGGCCCCAUUGUCCCCAUUGUCCCCAAUGUCCCCAUUGUCCCCAACGUCCCCAUUGCCCCCAUUGUCCCCAUUACCUCCACUGUCCCCAAUGUCCCCAUUGUCCCCAAUGUCCCCAAUGUCCCCAAUAUCACCAUUGUCCCCAUACCCCUCUAUUCCCC
rnacentral:lncRNA from 1 species